UGGCUAGAGUAAGUGUGAAUACUAAAAAAGAGUUUUCACAAAAUUUAUAAUUAACUCGAGUCGAGUCAAUCUAGUAUAUGACUGACGAUAGAGUUUGACGAGUUCUCCAUGACCUCCAUCAAAUCAGGACUCACGAUAGAGGGAUUGUAUCACACGAUAACUGCACCUAGGGAUUCACUUUUCUAUUCUACUGGAUUACCACUACAUAUU
rnacentral:lncRNA from 1 species